rnacentral:rRNA from 1 species
UACGUAGGGCGCAAGCGUUGUCCGGAAUCAUUGGGCGUAAAGCGCGCGUAGGCGGCCCUGUUAGUCCGCUGUAAAAGUCAAAGGCUCAACCUUUGAAUGCCGGUGGAUACUGCAGGGCUAGAGUCCGGAAGAGGCGAGUGGAAUUCCUGGUGUAGCGGUGGAAUGCGCAGAUAUCAGGAGGAACACCAACGGCGUAAGGCAGCUCGCUGGGACGGACUGACGCUGAGGCGGCGAAAGCGUGGGGAGCGAACAGG